UUGAAUCGUUGACACGAGCUGUUGCUGGCCCUCAGGUUGGAGGGCAUGUGCACGUUCUGUUUACACAUCCACUCACACCUGUGCACCUGUGUAGUUCUAUGGUCCAUGGGGGAGACCUAGUCUCCCCUUCUGUAGUUCUAUGUCUCACACACACGCUGUAACAAAGUCUUAUGGAAUGUAUGCAAUGCAAUA
rnacentral:misc_RNA from 1 species